AGUCACUGACAUUAGAUACCCGCGUAGUCCCAGCCCUAAACGAUGCGCGUUAGGUGUAUCGGUGACCACGAGUCACCGAGGUGCCGAAGGGAAACCGUGAAACGUGCCGCCUGGGAAGUACGGUCGCAAGGCUGAAACUUAAAGGAAUUGGCGGGGGAGCAUAACAACGGGUGGAGCUUGCGGUUUAAUUGGAUUCAACGCCGGAAAUCUUACCGGGACCGACAGCAACAUGAAGGCCAAACUGAAGACUUUGCCGGAUUAGCUG
rnacentral:rRNA from 1 species